rnacentral:rRNA from 1 species
UACGUAGGGGGCAAGCGUUGUCCGGAUUUAUUGGGCGUAAAGAGCGUGUAGGCGGCCAGGUAGGUCUGCUGUGAAAACUCGAGGCUUAACCUCGAGCUGUCGGCGGAAACCAUCUGGCUAGAGUCCGGAAGAGGAGAAUGGAAUUCCCGGUGUAGCGGUGAAAUGCGCAGAUAUCGGGAAGAACACCCGUGGCGAAGGCGGUUCUCUGGGACGGUACUGACGCUGAGACGUGAAAGCGUGGGGAGCGAACAGG